GAUGAACGCUAGCGGGAGGCCUAAUACAUGCAAGUCGAGCGGUAGGACCCUUUCGGGGGUUUGAGAGCGGCGUACGGGUGAGUAACGCGUACACAAUCUACCUUCAAGCGGGGAAUAGCCCUGGGAAACUGGGAUUAAUGCCCCAUAGGAUUACGGGACGGCAUCGCCCUGUAAUUAAAGCUCCGGUGUUUGAAGAUGAGUGUGCGUCUGAUUAGCUAGUUGGUAGGGUAACGGCCUACCAAGGCUACGAUCAGUAGGGGGCGUGAGAGCGUGGACCCCCACACGGGUACUGAGACACGGACCCGACUCCUACGGGAGGCAGCAGUAAGGAAUAUUGGUCAAUGGAGGAAACUCUGAACCAGCCAUCCCGCGUGCAGGAAGACGGCCCUCUGGGGUUGUAAACUGCUUUUAUCUGGGAAGAAAAGCCGACAUUCAUGUUGGUCUGACGGUACCAGAGGGAAUAAGCACCGGCUAACUCCGUGCCAGCAGCCGCGGUAAU
rnacentral:rRNA from 1 species